rnacentral:rRNA from 1 species
CCUACGGGUGGCAGCAGUGGGGAAUAUUGCACAAUGGGGGAAACCCUGAUGCAGCGACGCCGCGUGAGUGAAGAAGUAAUUCGUUAUGUAAAGCUCUAUCAGCAGGGAAGAAAAUGACCGUACCUGAGUAAGAAGCCCCGGCUAACUACGUGCCAGCAGCCGCGGUAAUACGUAGGGGGCAAGCGUUCUCCGGUUUUACUGGGUGGAAAGGGAGCGUAGACGGCAGUGCAAGUCUGGAGUGAAAGGCGGGGGCUCAACCCCCGGACUGCUCUGGAAACUGUACGGCUGGAGUGCGAGAGAGGUAAGUGGAAUUCCUAGUGUAGCGGUGAAAUGCGUAGAUAUAAGGAGGAACACCAGUGGCGAAGGCGGCUUACUGGACUGUAACUGACGUUGAGGCUCGAAAGCGUGGGGAGCAAACAGGAUUAGAUACCCCAGUAGUC